UACAGAGGUGGCAAGCGUUGUUCGGAAUUACUGGGCGUAAAGGGCGAGUAGGUGGCCAUCUAAGUCAGACGUGAAAUCCCCCGGCUUAACCUGGGAACUGCGUCUGAUACUGGACGGCUUGAGUAUGGGAGAGGAACUAGAAUUCCAGGUGUAGCGGUGAAAUGCGUAGAUAUCUGGAGGAAUACCGGUGGCGAAGGCGGCGUUCUGGACCAUUACUGACACUGAAUCGCGAAAGCUAGGGGAGACGAAACGGGA
rnacentral:rRNA from 1 species